AUGAAACUUGUAACAACUAUUUUGUUUUUAGUGUUAUUGGCAUUAAUGCAUUAUGUAUAUAUAAUUUUGCUUUUUACACAUAUCAUCCCAUGCAAUGUGAGGUUGGAAUUCAACAAGCUGACCGGAGACACUGUGAUCUUUGAGGCUCCUGGGCCCCCCUACACUAUGGAGGUCGAGAAAGGACGAACUAUGUCGCAGAUGGGAGGAGAUGGAUGGGUCUGUUUCAUCGCCCACAUGGGUAUCACUGGUGGUGAGUUGAUCAACUUCUCCUUCAGAGCAGAAAGACCCAAGCUGGUCGUCAUUUAUUUCAACACGGAGGAAGAUGAUGAGGACCCACUUGAUGAAGCCAUCUAUGCUCAAAGAAUGAGGCUGAGCGGGGAGGAGGUGUGCAACCUAUGGGACAUAAUUCCGCCACGUGCUGACUUCGUCGGGGUGCCAUUCGUGACCCGCCUGACAAGUACCAUGGUUGAUCAACAUGCCAUGAAAUUGCCAAAAAGCCUAUCUGUGAGUUGUGGUAUCGAGCCUGAUGAAGAAGGCUCUGCUGGAAUACGCCUUACUGCAAGGGGCUCCGUCACCACCAGUGCGUACGGCAUGGACACGGACGGUCGCACAAACUUAAGCUUGGUUGGGUGGAAGAGCUUUCUCGUUGGCAAGAAUCUUCAUGUUGGACAGGCCAUCCUAAUGACUAGCAGGAACACCCACUGCCAAGGCUUGAGGAUGAUGAUCGUCAUCGAUAUCAUCUAG
rnacentral:rRNA from 1 species